rnacentral:rRNA from 1 species
AUACGGAGGGUCCAAGCGUUAUCCGGAUUCAUUGGGUUUAAAGGGUCCGCAGGCGGGAAAAUAAGUCAGUGGUGAAAGCCUACAGCUCAACUGUAGAACUGCCAUUGAUACUGUUUUUCUUGAGUAUAGAUGAAGUGGGCGGAAUAUAUCAUGUAGCGGUGAAAUGCAUAGAUAUGAUAUAGAACACCGAUUGCGAAGGCAGCUCACUAAACUAUUGCUGACGCUCAGGGACGAAAGCGUGGGGAGCGUACAGGAUUAGAAACCCUUGUAGUCC